GACGAACCACCCAAACGUUAUUCGGAAUCACUGGGCGUAAAGGGUGCGUAGGCGGGUCUUUAAGUCAGGGGUGAAAUCCUGGAGCUCAACUCCAGAACUGCCUUUGAUACUGAAGAUCUUGAGUUCGGGAGAGGUGAGUGGAACUGCGAGUGUAGAGGUGAAAUUCGUAGAUAUUCGCAAGAACACCAGUGGCGAAGGCGGCUCACUGGCCCGAUACUGACGCUGAGGCACGAAAGCGUGGGGAGCAAACAGG
rnacentral:rRNA from 1 species